rfam:Gossypium hirsutum cultivar TM-1 chromosome 21, whole genome shotgun sequence
AUCUGCCUGGCUCCCUGCAUGCCAACUAUGGAUGCUGUCAAAAAUGGAUUGGCCCUUCCUAGUUGGCAUCAGAGGAGUCAAGCAGGU